rnacentral:rRNA from 1 species
UACGUAGGGGGCUAGCGUUGUCCGGAAUCAUUGGGCGUAAAGGGCGCGUAGGCGGCCACGACAAGUCACUUGUGAAAUCUCCGGGCUUAACCCGGAGCGGUCAAGUGAUACUGUCGUGCUAGAGUGCGGAAGGGGCUACUGGAAUUCUCGGUGUAGCGGUGAAAUGCGUAGAUAUCGAGAGGAACACCUGCGGCGAAGGCGGGUAGCUGGGCCGACACUGACGCUGAUGCGCGAAAGCCAGGGGAGCGAACGGG